GAAAUGCGAUAAGUAGUGUGAAUUGCAGAAUUCAGUGAAUCAUCGAAUCUUUGAACGCACAUUUCGCCCUUUGGUAUUCCUUAGGGCAUGCCUGUUCGAGCGUCAUCUAAACCUUCAAGCCCUGCUUGGUGUUGGGUGCCUGUCCCGCCUCCGCGCGCGGACUCACCUCAAAUCCAUUGGCGGCCCCCGCGUCGGCCACGAGCGCAGCAGAAACGCGAACUCGUGAGCCCGUCCGGGCGGCUCCCAGAAGCUACACCCACCCAGUUUGACCUCGGAUCAGGUAGGGAUACCCGCUGAACUUAAGC
rnacentral:misc_RNA from 1 species